AUGAACGCUGGCGGCGUGCCUAAUACAUGCAAGUCGAGCGAACGGACGAGAAGCUUGCUUUUCUGAUGUUAGCGGCGGACGGGUGAGUAACACGUGGAUAACCUACCUAUAAGACUGGGAUAACUUCGGGAAACCGGAGCUAAUACCGGAUAAUAUUUUGAACCGCAUGGUUCAAAAGUGAAAGACGGUCUUGCUGUCACUUAUAGAUGGAUCCGCGCUGCAUUAGCUAGUUGGUAAGGUAACGGCUUACCAAGGCAACGAUGCAUAGCCGACCUGAGAGGGUGAUCGGCCACACUGGAACUGAGACACGGUCCAGACUCCUACGGGAGGCAGCAGUAGGGAAUCUUCCGCAAUGGGCGAAAGCCUGACGGAGCAACGCCGCGUGAGUGAUGAAGGUCCUCGGAUCGUAAAACUCUGUUAUUAGGGAAGAACAUAUGUGUAAGUAACUGUGCACAUCUUGACGGUACCUAAUCAGAAAGCCACGGCUAACUACGUG
rnacentral:rRNA from 1 species